AGUCACGUUCUGAGGAUUGGGGACACAGAGAGUACAUCAUCCAGGGAGUUUGUAGCUCGGCGGAUCGAGCACGAGUGAUUUCAGGAUUUGCUAGCUUUCAGUAUUCACGAGGUACUAGCGAGGACCGUGGGAAGGCGCCGGCGUGAUGUGUACACACUGAUUGAUGUUUUGAGAUCUUGGGAAUUCUAUGAAUUGUAUUUUGACAUAA